GAUGAACGCUGGCGGCGUGCCUAAUACAUGCAAGUCGAGCGAACAGACGAGGAGCUUGCUCCUCUGACGUUAGCGGCGGACGGGUGAGUAACACGUGGAUAACCUACCUAUAAGACUGGGAUAACUUCGGGAAACCGGAGCUAAUACCGGAUAAUAUAUUGAACCGCAUGGUUCAAUAGUGAAAGACGGUUUUGCUGUCACUUAUAGAUGGAUCCGCGCCGCAUUAGCUAGUUGGUAAGGUAACGGCUUACCAAGGCAACGAUGCGUAGCCGACCUGAGAGGGGGAUCGGCCACACGGGAACUGAGACACGGUCCAGACUCCUACGGGAGGCAGCAGUAGGGAAUCUUCCGCAAAGGGCGAAAGCCUGACGGAGCAACGCCGCGUGAGUGAUGGAGGUCUUCGGAUCGUAAAACUCUGUUAUUAGGGAAGAACAAAUGUGUAAGUAACUAUGCACGUCUUGACGGUACCUGAUCAGAAAGCCACGGCUAACUACGUG
rnacentral:rRNA from 1 species